AAGUCGUAACAAGGUUUCCGUAGGUGAACCUGCGGAAGGAUCAUUACCGAGUUAGGGUGUCAAACUUAUGCGCCCGACCUCCAACCCUUUGUCUACUUGACCUUAUGUUGCUUCGGCAGGCCCGCUGGUGUCCCUUUGGGGCCCGGCCGCCGGGGGUCCUCGUGGCCCCGGGUCCGCGCCUGCCGAUGGCCCCUUCUUAAACUAUUGUUAAAACGUGUCGUCUGAGUUUAUGAUUAAACAAUCAAAACAAAACUUUCAACAACGGAUCUCUUGGUUCUG
rnacentral:misc_RNA from 1 species